rnacentral:rRNA from 1 species
UACGAAGGGGGCGAGCGUUGUUCGGAUUUACUGGGCGUAAAGGGCGCGCAGGCGGCCGCAUUUGUCAGGCGUGAAAGCCCCGGGCUUAACCUGGGAACUGCGUUUGAUACGGUGUGGCUAGAGUUCGGGAGAGGAGAGUGGAAUUCCCAGUGUAGAGGUGAAAUUCGUAGAUAUUCGCAAGAACACCAGUGGCGAAGGCGGCUCACUGGCCCGGUACUGACGCUGAGGUGCGAAAGCGUGGGGAGCAAACAGG